UCCCAGAAUUCCCAGCACCAAGCAGGAGAUGGCCAUGUGCCAGGGCUUGGAAGCAAUACACAUCAUUUACACAGCAGCUCCAGCACCUUCUGAGGAAUGUCCAAAUUUUGGGAGGAAUACAGUACCUUUCAAGAAUUGAAGACAGUAGCUGCUGCAUAGUUUCCAAUGAGGCUGCUGACCUAGGAAGGCAAGGCCCAUCAGGCCUGUGAGGAGACUGCAUUUUGCAUCAGUGAAGCUCCACAUGGAUUCAGAUUGCUCUGUCCUGAUGGCCAAUGCACCUGUUUCCUCAGAUCACAGCCAGUAAACAUCAUGGUCAUGGCCAAAGGUGGGUUCAUAUCAUUCUACAACUGUCCAUUCCCACAGAAUGUGCAUCAGCAAGAGUAAAGAUUAAGCCCCUCCAGGCUUGACCACUGAGAUCAAUCCAUCCCACCAUGAUGGGCAGAAAGAAGCAGUGACCCAGGCUGGCCCAUGACUUUCACUAUCAUCAUUAGGACACCAUCUUUUCCUCCAAUGCCAAACUAGAAGAUUGUGUCUCUAAAGCUGCUUGGCAACAUGCCACCACCCCCAGAGUCAGGGUGGGCAAAGAAGGCUGCGCAGGGAGAUGGAGAGAGGCAGUGUCCUGAUGAUGUCACUGCAACCUCUGGAUAAAGCUGUGCCUAAAUCUGUUGUGUUCAGCCCACAAUUCCCAAACAUGUGAAC